rnacentral:rRNA from 1 species
CCUACGGGAGGCAGCAGUGAGGAAUAUUGGUCAAUGGACGAGAGUCUGAACCAGCCAAGUAGCGUGAAGGAUGACUGCCCUAUGGGUUGUAAACUUCUUUUAUAUGGGAAUAAAAUGUUCCACGUGUGGGAUUUUGUAUGUACCAUAUGAAUAAGGAUCGGCUAACUCCGUGCCAGCAGCCGCGGUAAUACGGAGGAUCCGAGCGUUAUCCGGAUUUAUUGGGUUUAAAGGGAGCGUAGGUGGAUUGUUAAGUCAGUUGUGAAAGUUUGCGGCUCAACCGUAAAAUUGCAGUUGAAACUGGCAGUCUUGAGUACAGUAGAGGUGGGCGGGAUUCGUGGUGUAGCGGUGAAAUGCUUAGAUAUCACGAAGAACUCCGAUUGCGAAGGCAGUUCACUGGACUGCAACUGACACUGAGGCUCGAAAGUGUGGGUAUCAAACAGGAUUAGAUACCCGAGUAGUC